AAAUUGGCCAUUACUGGAUCAGCUGAUAGGAGUGUUAAAAUCUGGGACCUCCAAGCUGGGAAGUGUAAGAAGACAAUUUGGGUGAGCCCCACUACCUCCAUCAUGUCAGUCAGCUACAGUCAGGGCUUCAUUGCCUGUUCCUAUGGAGAGGUGAUAUGCCUGUAUAAACUGGAAGGAGCAAGUCUGAUCAAAACCUUUGAAGAGCACCAGAAAAGGAUUGAAUGCUUAGAGUUACGCAUCACUGACCCUGUUAAAUUGGAAGGUGUAAUGG